rnacentral:lncRNA from 1 species
UCCACUUGUAUCGUACAACUCGAGAUCACCUCUUUUCAGAUCUUUGAUAUUCUGUAGUUGCUAUAAUGAAUUAUAAAUAUACGAUCUACAUGUGAUAUCUAAUACCCAGAUAUCAGAGUCUAAACUACUCAAUAAAAAAUAGGUCUGUAUCAUAUACACACCUUUUGAUGCUACACAUGUACCCUGCUUCAAUCUUACAAGAUUAUUCUC